UGGCAUUACAAGUUUCAAAGUCGAAAUUAUGCCAAUAUGAAUCAGAUAUAGUUCAUAGAUGCUUUAAAAAAUAUGAUUUUGACAAGUCAAAAUGUAGUAAAGAAAUUUUAAAUUAUAAUACAUGUAAAAAAUUUUGGACGCAUGUUGUUAAUGAGAGGCGAAGAAAAGACCAAAAGCCUUAUGUUCCAACCGAGCAAGAAAGAAACCAAUUAAAAAAAGACUUCAUCAAAAAUGAAAAAUAUACAUAAUUUUAUAAUAAAUUUUUUUUGUGAAGAUAAAUAACAAUAUACUAUUUAAAUAAAAUUUUU